rnacentral:rRNA from 1 species
AUUGAACGCUGGCGGCAUGCCUUACACUUGCAAGUCGAACGGCAGCACGGGUGCUUGCACCUGGUGGCGAGUGGCGAACGGGUGAGUAAUACAUCGGAACAUGUCCUGUAGUGGGGGAUAGCCCGGCGAAAGCCGGAUUAAUACCGCAUACGAUCUACGGAUGAAAGCGGGGGACCUUCGGGCCUCGCGCUAUAGGGUUGGCCGAUGGCUGAUUAGCUAGUUGGUGGGGUAAAGGCCUACCAAGGCGACGAUCAGUAGCUGGUCUGAGAGGACGACCAGCCACACUGGGACUGAGACACGGCCCAGACUCCUACGGGAGGCAGCAGUGGGGAAUUUUGGACAAUGGGCGAAAGCCUGAUCCAGCAAUGCCGCGUGUGUGAAGAAGGCCUUCGGGUUGUAAAGCACUUUUGUCCGGAAAGAAAUCCUUGGCCCUAAUACGGUCGGGGGAUGACGGUACCGGAAGAAUAAGCACCGGCUAACUACGUG